rnacentral:ribozyme from 2 species
GAAAAAAAAAAAAAAAAAAAAAAAAAAAAAAAA